AAUUCAAUCAUAUCUGUUCUUCGUAUAUGUCUGAGAAUAAGGCUCAGAUGUCUCUACCGAGCGACCGUAAAUUGCUUGACUACGAAGGGAUCAGACCUGUUA
rnacentral:ncRNA from 1 species